AUGAUCAAAGUCGUUAGAAUAUCUUGGCAGCUGUCGGCCUCUAAAGCUAGAAGAUAAACAACAAUGCAGCAAAAAAAGAAUGUGUCAGUUUCACAGUAUAAUAUUCACACGCUUGACUAAACGUCACAGCCUGCCAUAAAACAGUGUCACUAGGUGCCUAUGCAAAUGGGUCUCAUAAGUUUAGCCAUAUAAAAUUUUCUGACUGAACACCAUGCAAAGUGAGGGCAACAGCAAACCAUAUGAGGUGUGGUUGACUCAUUUAUUCCUUCAUCCAACAUUUAGCCAGCACAUCUUCAGGGAGACUAGAAACAUACUACAGCAGAUGGACAGAAAGCCGAGGCUGAAGGCUAGAAGUCUUUAAAAAAGCGAGGCAAACCACUUUCUUAAAUUUCUCUUUUGCUAUCACUUGAGUUUCCGAACGACUGAAAAGGACAAAGAAAGGAAGGACACAACCAUGUCAUUUUGCCAUGCUGCUCCCCUCCUCAGUCCUUGACAAGUUUAACACACCGUCACCAUGGCAAUGCUACAGAUUCAUCACAUCCUCCGUAUCAGGGUCCUAGAGGACUCUGCAGAGUGUGGAGUUUUUGUGGUUAACAUCUACUGUGGCGAGCCUCUUCUGCUGAGAUUCUGGUGCGUGAAGCCCGCCUUCCGAAAUGGUCAGGUGGAGCAGAUGGAUGCAAACGCGCAGACCGCGGCGCAGAUGGAUUUUGUUCUCCGGGUCACACACCGUGCACCUGACCUCCCUAACAGCCACUACUGGGGUCCGUUUGUGUUGUCGCUGUGCCUCGACGCUCUUCGCUUCCGGUUCCGCCUGCCAACUCAGGCCCAAAGCGGCAGAGAAUUACAA